rfam:Triticum aestivum genome assembly, contig: Triticum_aestivum_CS42_TGACv1_scaffold_377306_5AL
AGGAGCCGUAUGAGGUGAAAAUCUCAAUUACGGUUCUGUAAAGGGACAUUAAGGGUGACUUAUUUGUCGACUUUUCC